rnacentral:rRNA from 1 species
GACGAACGCUGGCGGCGUGCCUAAUACAUGCAAGUCGAGCGCAGGAAACUGACGGAACUCUUCGGAGGGAAGGCAGUGGAAUGAGCGGCGGACGGGUGAGUAACACGUAAGGAACCUGCCUCAAGGAUUGGGAUAACUCCGAGAAAUCGGAGCUAAUACCGGAUAGUUCAACGGACCGCAUGGUCCGCUGAUGAAAGGCGCUCCGGCGUCACCUUGAGAUGGCCUUGCGGUGCAUUAGCUAGUUGGUGGGGUAACGGCCCACCAAGGCGACGAUGCAUAGCCGACCUGAGAGGGUGAUCGGCCACACUGGGACUGAGACACGGCCCAGACUCCUACGGGAGGCAGCAGUAGGGAAUCUUCCACAAUGGACGAAAGUCUGAUGGAGCAACGCCGCGUGAGUGAUGAAGGUUUUCGGAUCGUAAAACUCUGUUGUAAGGGAAGAACACGUACGAGAGGUAAUGCUCGUACCUUGACGGUACCUUACGAGAAAGCCACGGCUAACUACGUGCCAGCAGCCGCAGUAACAC